UACGUAGGGUCCGAGCGUUGUCCGGAAUUAUUGGGCGUAAAGGGCUCGUAGGCGGUUUGUCACGUCGGGAGUGAAAACACGGGGCUUAACCCCGUGCCUGCUUCCGAUACGGGCAGACUAGAGGUAUGCAGGGGAGAACGGAAUUCCUGGUGUAGCGGUGAAAUGCGCAGAUAUCAGGAGGAACACCGGUGGCGAAGGCGGGUCUCUGGGCCGAUACUGACGCUGAGGAGCGAAAGCGUGGGGAGCGAACAGG
rnacentral:rRNA from 1 species